rnacentral:sRNA from 1 species
GAGAGACAACGAUGGCUGCGAAGCGAU